rnacentral:rRNA from 1 species
AGGGCACCACCAGGAGUGGAGCCUGCGGCUUAAUUUGACUCAACACGGGAAAACUCACCCGGCCCGGACACUGGAAGGAUUGACAGAUUGAGAGCUCUUUCUUGAUUCAGUGGGUGGUGGUGCAUGGCCGUUCUUAGUUGGUGGAGUGAUUUGUCUGGUUAAUUCCGAUAACGAACGAGACUCUAGCCUACUAAAUAGAUCGUCGGCUUACAAACGCCGGCGAGACUUCUUAGAGGGACAGGCGGUGAUUCAACCGCACGAAACAGAGCAAUAACAGGUCUGUGGUGCCCUUAGAUGUCCGGGGCCGCACGCGCGCUACACUGAAGUGAUCAGCGUGCUUUUUCAACCUACUCUGUCAAGAGUGGGGAACCCAAUGAACCUUCUUCGUGAUUGGGAUAGGGGAUUGUAAUUGUUCCCCUUGAACGAGGAAUUCCCAGUAAGCGCGAGUCAUAAGCUCGCGUUGAUUACGUCCCUGCCCUUUGUACACACCGCCCGUCGCUACUACCGAUUGAAUGUUUU